rnacentral:rRNA from 1 species
UGCGUAGGGGGCGAGCGUUGUCCGGAUUUAUUGGGCGUAAAGAGCUCGUAGGCGGUUCGAUAAGUCGGACGUGAAAUCUCCACGCUCAACGUGGAGGGGCCGUUCGAUACUGUCGUGACUCGAGUCCGGUAGGGGAGUGUGGAAUUCCCGGUGUAGCGGUGAAAUGCGCAGAGAUCGGGAGGAACACCCGUAGCGAAGGCGGCACUCUGGGCCGGUACUGACGCUGAGGAGCGAAAGCGUGGGGAGCGAACAGG